CCUACGGGGUGCUGCAGUGGGGAAUAUUGGACAAUGGGCGAAAGCCUGAUCCAGCCAUGCCGCGUGUGUGAAGAAGGCCUUCGGGUUGUAAAGCACUUUCAGUGGGGAAGAAAGCCUUGGGGCUAAUACCCUCGAGGAAGGACAUCACCCACAGAAGAAGCACCGGCUAACUCCGUGCCAGCAGCCGCGGUAAUACGGAGGGUGCGAGCGUUAAUCGGAAUUACUGGGCGUAAAGCGCGCGUAGGCGGUCUGAUAAGCCGGUUGUGAAAGCCCCGGGCUCAACCUGGGAACGGCAUCCGGAACUGUCAGGCUAGAGUGCAGGAGAGGAAGGUAGAAUUCCCGGUGUAGCGGUGAAAUGCGUAGAGAUCGGGAGGAAUACCAGUGGCGAAGGCGGCCUUCUGGACUGACACUGACGCUGAGGUGCGAAAGCGUGGGUAGCAAACAGGAUUAGAUACCGGGUAGUC
rnacentral:rRNA from 1 species